rnacentral:misc_RNA from 1 species
GAACUUUCUCUCCAUGGAUUGGCUUCCAACACGUCAUAACUGCUGCUAUCAAACGUCUGAUGAAGAUGCCUCCUCAUAUCAUAAGCACGGGAAGAAACACGCUUCACAAAUUCAUUGGAAGUACCAGGAAUAUUUCCAUCUAAGCUAAGUGCUCUCUCCAUAUCCACAUCCUCACUCCCAUCUUCAGCAUCGCUGUCGCCUUUGUUAGCGC